AAAUUGAAGAGUUUGAUCAUGGCUCAGAUUGAACGCUGGCGGCAGGCCUAACACAUGCAAGUCGAACGGUAACAGGAAACAGCUUGCUGUUUCGCUGACGAGUGGCGGACGGGUGAGUAAUGUCUGGGAAACUGCCUGAUGGAGGGGGAUAACUACUGGAAACGGUAGCUAAUACCGCAUAACGUCGCAAGACCAAAGAGGGGGACCUUAGGGCCUCUUGCCAUCGGAUGUGCCCAGAUGGGAUUAGCUAGUAGGUGGGGUAAAGGCUCACCUAGGCGACGAUCCCUAGCUGGUCUGAGAGGAUGACCAGCCACACUGGAACUGAGACACGGUCCAGACUCCUACGGGAGGCAGCAGUGGGGAAUAUUGCACAAU
rnacentral:rRNA from 1 species